ensembl:snRNA U2 U2 spliceosomal RNA
AUAGCUUCUCGGCCUUUUGGCUAAGAUCAAGUGUAGUAUCUGUGAACAGGUUUUUUUAUGUCAUUUGUGCUGUCUCCUGAUUUUUC